rnacentral:rRNA from 1 species
GCACAAGCGGUGGAGCAUGUGGUUUAAUUCGACGCAACGCGAAGAACCUUACCUGGGCUCGAAAUGUAGUGGAAUCCGGUGGAAACAUCGGCGUCUAGCAAUAGACCGCUAUAUAGGUGCUGCAUGGCUGUCGUCAGCUCGUGUCGUGAGAUGUUGGGUUAAGUCCCGCAACGAGCGCAACCCUUAUUACCAGUUGCUACCAUUUAGUUGAGCACUCUAAGGAGACUGCCGGUGAUAAGCCGCGAGGAAGGUGGGGAUGACGUCAAGUCCUCAUGGCCCUUACGGGCUGGGCUACACACGUGCUACAAUGGCGGUGACAAUGGGACGCUAAGGGGCAACCCUUCGCAAAUCUCAAAAAGCCGUCUCAGUUCGGAUUGGGCUCCGCAACUCGAGCCCAUGAAGUUGGAAUCGCUAGUAAUCGUGGAUCAGCAUGCCACGGUGAAUACGUUCCCGGGC